AUGUGUGUGAACGGGCCUGUGCUCCGUAGCGUCUUGGUGUUUCUGCUGUUGGGUGUCUCCUACACUAAGCACAGGUGCAACUAUUCGGAGAUACUCGGCUCAUACAGAGAACUCAUCUUCGUUGAACUUCAGAAUUUGAAUCUGACUGGCAAUUUUGACACGUCCAAAGAGAGGGACCGUUGUCCCUCAGGAAAGGUGCAGCACGUUUUGCGCUCCAUCYAUGGUAUGACUCAGCAGUUCCUGUGCCAGAGCCGCAGGCAGGGCAUUAGACAACAGGGGGACAUGGAGAAACCAGUGGAGAUGAUGGAACAGCUGAUCAGACAGAACUGCAAACACACUAACCUGGUGAGAGGACAGAAGAGAGCCGCCCUGUGUGUGACUUCCCAGAGAACGAAGGGAAAGAAGAAGAAGAGGAUAAGGGCACUGAUAAACUGUUGGCAGAAGCUGCAGAGUGUGUACUUGCCCACAAAAUGAAUGGGAAAUACUAUGUUUUUCUUUGUUUUGGUGUUUUGGCAACCACACUGUGAACAGUUGAACACAUGCACAGAUAUUGCAGAAAUGCUGCAUCUCGCUCAUCUCAAUAUCUCCGGUGCUGCUCGAGGCGAUGACAUUCUACCUUUAAUAAUGGUUGUUAGAGGAUGGUAUACAAUGCAAUUCAAAUAUUUACUUGUAAUACUUUGUGCACACACAUAAAAAAUAUAUUAUCUCAUAAUCCAGAGAUUGCGAUUCCUUUUCUUAAACAUAUAUUUGGUAUUUGGCGUCAGCUAGUCUUACUGGGGUUCGACACAUAAUGAAAAAGACAUAACAGAAAAAAACACUAACAUGUAGUGCAUCUAUCAGUUAGACAUACAGUUGAAUUCGAACGUUUACAGACACUUAGGUUGGAGUCAUUAAAAUCCGCUUUUCAACCACUCCACACAUUUCUUGUUAACAAACUAUAGUUUUGGUAAGACGGUUAGGACAUCUACUUUGGCUUUAGAAGCUUCUGAUAGGCUAAUCGAUAUCAUUUGAGUCAAUUGGAGGUGUACCUGUGGAUGUAUUUCAAGGCCUACCUUCAAACUGCCUGAUUCUUUGAAUUUUCCCAUGAUGUCAAGCGAAGAUCAAAUCAAAGUGUGUUUGUCACGUGCGCCGAAUAUAACAGUGAAAUGCUGACUUACAGGCUCUAACCAAUAGUGCAAACAUGGUAUUAGGUGAACAAUAGGUAGGUAAAGAAAUAAAACAACAGUUAAAAGACAGGAUAUAGAAGUAGCGAGGCAACAUACAGACACCGGUUAGUCAGGCUGAUUGAGGUAGUCUGUACAUGUAGAUAUGGUUAAAGUGACUAUGCAUAUAUGAUGAACAGAGAGUAGCAGUAGCAUAAAAGAGGGGUUGGCGUGUGAUGGGUGGGACACAAUGCAGAAAGCCUGGUUAGCCAAUGUGUGGGAGCACUGGAUGUUCGGCCCAAUUGAGGUAGUAUGUGCAUGAAUGUAUAGUUAAAGUGAGUAUGCAGAUAUGAUAAACAGAGAGUAGCAGCAGUGUAAAAAGAGGGGUUGGGGGGGAGCACACAAUGCAAAAAGUCCGGGUGGCCAUUUUAUUACCUGUUCAGGUGUCUUAUGGCUUGGGGGUAAAAACUGUUGAGAAGCCUUUUUGUCCUAGACUUGGCACUACGGUACCGCUUGCCAUGCAAUAGUAGAGAGAACAGUCUAUGACUGGGGUGGCUGGGGUCUUUGACAAUAUUUAGGGCCUUCCUCUGACACCGCCUGGUGUAGAGAUCCUGGAUGGCAGGCAGCUUAGCCCCAGUGAUGGACCUGGCCUGUCUUGGUGUGUUUGGACCAUUCUAGUUUGUUGUUGAUGUGGACACCAAGGAUCUUGAAUCUCUCAAACUGCUCCACUACAGCCCCGUCGAUGAGAAUGGGGGCGUGCUCGGUCUUCCUUUUCCUGUAGUCCACAAUAAUCUCCUUAGUCUUGGUUACGUUGAGGGAUAGGUUGUUAUUCAGGUCUCUGACUUCCUCCCUAUAGGCUGUCUCAUCGUUGUCGGUGAUCAGGCCUUCCGCUGUUGUGUCGUCUGCAAACUUAAUGAUGAUGUUGGAGUCAUGCCUGGCCAUGCAGUCGUGGGUGAACAGGGAGUACAGGAGGGGACUGAGCAUGCACCCCUGGGGAGCUCCCUUGCUGAGGGUCAGCGUGGCAGAUGUGUUGAUACCUACCCUCAACCCCUGGGGCGGCCCGUCAGGAAGUCCAGGAUCCAGUUGCAGAGAGAGGUGUUUAGUCCCAGGAUCCUUAGCUUAUAGAUGAGCUUUGACGGCACUAUGGUGUUGAACGCUGAGCUGUAGUCAACGAAUAGCAUUCUCACAUAUGUGUUCCUUUUAUCCAGGUGGGAAAGAGCAGUGUGGAGUGCAAUAGAGAUUGCAUCAUCUGUGGAUCUGUUUGUGCGGUAUGCAAAUUGGAGUGGGUCUAGGGUUUCUGUGAUAAUGAUGUUGAUGUGAGCCAUUACUAGCCUUUCAAAGCACUUCAUGGCUACGGACGUGAGUGCUACGGGUCUGUAGUCAUUUAGGCAGGUUGCCUUUGUGUUCUUGGGCACGGGGACUAUGGUUGUCUGCUUGAAAUAUGUUGGUAUUACAGACUCAAUCAGGGACAUGUUGAAAAUGUCAUUGAAGACACUUGCCAGUUGGUCAGCACAUGCCCGGAGCACACGUCCUGGUAAUCCGUCUGGCCCCGCAUCCUUGUGUAUGUUGACCUGUUUAAAGGUCUUACUCACGUCGGCUACAGAGAGCGUGAUCACACAGUCGUCCGGAACAGCUGAUGCUCUCAUGCAUGCCUCAGUGUUGCUUGCCUCGAAGCGAGGCUAGAAGUGAUUUAGCUUGCGUGGUAGGCUCGUGUCACUGGGCAGCUCGUGGCUGUGCUUCCCUUUGUAGUCUGUAAUAGUUUGCAAGCCCUGCCACAUAAGACGUGCAUCGGAGCCUGUGUAGUAUGAUUCAAUCUUAGCCCUGUAUUGACUCUUUGCAUGUUUCAUGGUUCGUCGCAGGGCAUAGCAGGAUUUCUUGUAAGCUUCCGGGUUAGAGUCGCUCACCUUGAAAGCGGCAGCUCUACCCUUUAGCUCAGUGCGAAUGUUGCCUGUAAUCCAUGGCUUCUGGUUGGUGUAUGUACGUAUAGUCACUGUGGGGACAACGUCCUUGAUGCACUUAUUGAUAAAGCCAAUGACUGAUGUGGUGUACUCCUCAAUGUCAUCGGAAGAAUCCCGGAACAUGUUCCAUUCUGUGAUAGCAAAGCAGUCCUGUAGUAUAGACCGAGUCACUGGUGCUUUCUGCUUUAAUUAAGCAGUUGUGGUCGGAUUUACCAAAUGGAGGGCGAGGGAGAGCUUUGUACGUGUUUCUGUGUGUGGAGUACAGGUGAUCUAGAAUGUUUUUUUUCUCUGGUUGCACAUUUAACAUGUUGAUAAAAAUUUGGUAGAACUGAUUUAAGUUUCCCUGCAUUAACGUCUCCGGCCACUAGGAGCGUUGCCUCUGGGUGAGUGGUUUCCUGUUUGCUUAUUUCCUUAUACAGCUGACUGAGUGCGGUCUUAGUGCCAGCAUCUGUCUGUUGUGGAAAAUAAACAGCCACAAAAAGUAUACUGUAGCUGAGAACUCUCUAGGCAAGUAGUGUGGCCUGCAAUUUAUCACAAUAUACUCUUCUUCAGGCAAGCAAAAUCAAGAGACUUCCUUAGAUUUAGUGCACCAGCUGUUGUUUACAAAUAUGCACAGACCCCCCCCCCAUCCCUCGUCUUACCGGAGUGUGGUGUUCUAUCUUGCCGCUGCAGCGUAUAUCCCGCUAGCUGAAUAUCCAUGUCGUCAUUCAGCCAUUAUUCCAUGAAACAUAGGAUAUUACAGUUUUUGAUGUCCCUUUGGUAGGAUAUUCGUGAUCGUACCUCGUCUAAUUUAUUCUCCAAUGAUUGCACGUUGGCGAGUAGUAUUGACGGUAAUGACAGCUUUCCCAGUCACCUUCUCCGGGUCCUGACCAGGCAUCCGGCUCUUUGUCCUCCGUACCUGUGUCGCUUCCUCUUGCAAAUAAUGGGGAUGUCGGCCCUGCUGGGUGUUUGGAGAAUGUCUUGUACGUCUUGUUUGUUGAAGAAAAAAUCUUUGUCUAAUCCGAGGUGAGUGAUCGCUGUCCUGAGUGAUCGCUGCUCUUUUUUUGACGUAAGAUAAGGUUGCAGAAACAUUAUGUACAAAAUAAGUUAGAAAUAACGCGAAGAAAAACACAUAGAAUGCCCGUAAAACUGCUGCCAUUUCUUCUGGCGACAUUUUAACAGAACUUCCAACUUCAACUGUCCAUCCAGUUUGAUUUCUAAUUGGGUGUAGGCAAAACCUUAAUUAAGCAAAUAGGUAAACUGUGAUAUGACUAAAGAGUUUGUAAGGGUGAUUUUUCCACAAAUAGACAGGUAUUUUCCUUUUCAUGGUAGCAAGAUUGCAUCUAUUUUGUUAACUUUCUAUAAAAAUAUAUUAGAGUGAGAUCAUUUAUUUAUUUCGGGAUAUGUACACCGAGUAUGUCCACAUCUCUGUCAGACCAUUUUAUUGGUAAACUACAUGGUAAUGUAAGAGAUGUAUUUUCUUGUGAUCCAAUACAGUACACUUAUCAUAAUUAGAUUUUAAUCCAGAGGUUAGAAAAAGUAUCUUGAUCCUCUAAGAGGCCGUGGAGAGAUUCUAAUUGUGGAUUUAAAAGAAAACAUGAAUCAUCAGUGUACAACGACACCUUUGUUUUUAAGCCCUGGAUUUCUAAUCCCAUAAAAUUAUUGUUGGAUUUAAUUUUAACAGCUAACAUUUCAAUGAUAAUAAAUAAAUAUGCCU
rnacentral:lncRNA from 1 species